UCGAACGAGACUUCGGGUCUAGUGGCGCACGGGUGCGUAACGCGUGGGAAUCUGCCCCUUCGGUUGGGAAUAACACAGAGAAAUUUGUGCUAAUACCUUAUAAUGUCUUCGGACCAAAGAUUUAUCGCCGAGGGAUGAGCCCGCGUAGGAUUAGGUAGUUGGUGGGGUAAUGGCCUACCAAGCCGACGAUCCUUAGCUGGUCUGAGAGGAUGAUCAGCCACACUGGGACUGAGACACGGCCCAGACUCCUACGGGAGGCAGCAGUGGGGAAUAUUGGACAAUGGGCGAAAGCCUGAUCCAGCAAUGCCGCGUGAGUGAUGAAGGCCUUAGGGUUGUAAAGCUCUUUUACCAGGGAUGAUAAUGACAGUACCUGGAGAAUAAGCUCCGGCUAACUCCGUGCCAGCAGCCGCGGUAAUACGGAGGGAGCUAGCGUUGUUCGGAAUUACUGGGCGUAAAGCGCGCGUAGGCGGUUACUCAAGUCAGAGGUGAAAGCCCGGGGCUCAACCCCGGAACUGCCUUUGAAACUAGGUAACUAGAAUCUUGGAGAGGUCAGUGGAAUUCCGAGUGUAGAGGUGAAAUUCGUAGAUAUUCGGAAGAACACCAGUGGCGAAGGCGACUGAC
rnacentral:rRNA from 1 species